GGGGCUGUGGCUCAGUGGUAGAGCAUCUGCUCGACAUGCAGAAGGUCCCAGGUUCAGUUCCUGGUGCCUCCA